UCCGUAGGUGAACCUGCGGAAGGAUCAUUAAAGAGUAAGGGUGCUCAGCGCCCGACCUCCAACCCUUUGUUGUUAAAACUACCUUGUUGCUUUGGCGGGACCGCUCGGUCCCGAGCCGCCGGGGCUUCGGCCCAGGCGAGCGCCCGCCAGAGUUAAACCAAACUCUUGUUAUUUAAACCGGUCGUCUGAGUUAAAAUUUUGAAUAAAUCAAAACUUUCAACAACGGAUCUCUUGGUUCUCGCAUCGAUGAAGAACGCAGCGAAAUGCGAUAAGUAAUGUGAAUUGCAGAAUUCAGUGAAUCAUCGAAUCUUUGAACGCACAUUGCGCCCCUUGGUAUUCCGAGGGGCAUGCCUGUUCGAGCGUCAUUACACCACUCAAGCUAUGCUUGGUAUUGGGCGACCGUCCUUUCGGGGGCGCGCCUCAAAGACCUCGGCGAGGCCUCACCGGCUUUAGGCGUAGUAGAAUUUAUUCGAACGUCUGUCAAAGGAGAGGACUUCUGCCGACUGAAACAUUUUUUUUUACAGGUUGACCUCGGAUCAGGUAGGGAUACCCGCUGAACUUAAGCAUAUCAAUAAGCGGAGGA
rnacentral:rRNA from 1 species